UCUGGCGAUUUAACAUAGGAGUCACACCUCUUCCCAUUCCGAACAGAGUAGUUAAGCCCUAUGUCACCGAUGGUACUGCAUGGGCAACUGUGUGGGAGAGUAGGUUUUGCCAGAU
rnacentral:rRNA from 1 species